rnacentral:lncRNA from 1 species
AACACCCUCUCCAUAUUCAGAAAUUCGUCCAAAACCCUAUUUCCCACCUUGCCGCAGCCUUCCAUCCCCAAACUCCCAACUUUCUGCCCAAAUUCAACCUUGCCGCACCAUCCUCUUCCCCAAACCAUUCCUACAUCCUUCCAUAACCAUUCAUCCACCUUGUGCAGCCACUAAAGGCGGAGAAAGAAGGAAUGUCGUGCAGUCCAAAGGAAGGAGAAGCCUUGCACAUGCAAUCUGCCAUUAGUGGAGUGUUUGGAGUUCUUUCUUUCU